GAGGGUAUAGCUCAGAAGUAGAGCACAUGCUUGGCAUGCAUGAGGUCCCGGGUUCAAUUCCCAGUACCUCCU
rnacentral:tRNA from 1 species